CCUACGGGAGGUAGCAGUGAGGAAUAUUGGUCAAUGGACGAGAGUCUGAACCAGCCAAGUAGCGUGAAGGAUGACUGCCCUAUGGGUUGUAAACUUCUUUUAUAUGGGAAUAAAAUGUUCCACGUGUGGGAUUUUGUAUGUACCAUAUGAAUAAGGAUCGGCUAACUCCGUGCCAGCAGCCGCGGUAAUACGGAGGAUCCGAGCGUUAUCCGGAUUUAUUGGGUUUAAAGGGAGCGUAGGUGGAUUGUUAAGUCAGUUGUGAAAGUUUGCGGCUCAACCGUAAAAUUGCAGUUGAAACUGGCAGUCUUGAGUACAGUAGAGGUGGGCGGAAUUCGGGGUGUAGCGGUGAAAUGCUUAGAUAUCACGAAGAACUCCGAUUGCGAAGGCAGUUCACUGGACUGCAACUGACACUGAGGCUCGAAAGUGUGGGUAUCAAACAGGAUUAGAUACCCCUGUAGUC
rnacentral:rRNA from 1 species